AUGCCCAUUGCCCAGUCACCCCAUCUGCUCACCCACCUCUCCUCCAGCAACCAAGAGGUCGUAUCGUUGAGCUGGGUCUGGAAGAGUUGUUACUGUGCGUGUAUGUGUGUGGUGAAGAGUUUCUCAAAUUUUUUAAUCUCAGGACUCCUCAACCCUCCUCUCAGCAUUAAAGCUCUUCUCCAUCGUGGUGUCCGUGGAAAGUGUGACUUCUCUACCUCAAAUAGUUUCUUCAUUUUAACACUGGAUACGUUGGACACAUUUUUCUUAAGUCUCCCCCAAAGAAAUAAAGAUUUUGAUUUCUG
rnacentral:lncRNA from 1 species